rnacentral:rRNA from 1 species
UGGGGAAUUUUGGACAAUGGGCGAAAGCCUGAUCCAGCAAUGCCGCGUGUGUGAAGAAGGCCUUCGGGUUGUAAAGCACUUUUGUCCGGAAAGAAAUCCUUGGCUCUAAUACAGUCGGGGGAUGACGGUACCGGAAGAAUAAGCACCGGCUAACUACGUGCCAGCAGCCGCGGUAAUACGUAGGGUGCAAGCGUUAAUCGGAAUUACUGGGCGUAAAGCGUGCGCAGGCGGUUUGCUAAGACCGAUGUGAAAUCCCCGGGCUCAACCUGGGAACUGCAUUGGUGACUGGCAGGCUAGAGUAUGGCAGAGGGGGGUAGAAUUCCACGUGUAGCAGUGAAAUGCGUAGAGAUGUGGAGGAAUACCGAUGGCGAAGGCAGCCCCCUGGGCCAAAUACUGACGCUCAUGCACGAAAGCGUGGGGAGCAAACAGGAUUAGAUACCCUGGUAGUCCACGCCCUAAACGAUGUCAACUAGUUGUUGGGGAUUCAUUUCCUAGUAACGUAGCUAACGCGUGAAGUUGACCGCCUGGGGAGUACGGUCGCAAGAUUAAAACUUAAAUGAAUUGACGGGGUCAUAGCUGUUUCCU